AAGAAGCAAAAGGAUCUGGUGCCUGUGUCUGCCACUCCUGAGAAGAAUUAGCAGCCCUCUGGGAGGGAGUGUGUUGCUAUGGUAAGAAGGAAGGCUGUCGUCCUGGUCCUAAGAGCACUGGAACUGUGGCACCAGUAAAAUGCAAGACUCAGACACCGAAAAUUGAUUUGUGGGGGAAGCGCCAAUCAUAGUACAGAGUCUGAGAAUUGGAAUCUUGAGAAUGGGGAAGCAAGACAACCCAGGUAGUCCUCCUGUCUUACUUGUACUCUGUAUAUACAUGUUGCAUAAUCUUUACCGGUUGCCUUAAGGAACAAGCAUGUGCUUAGUACAGAAAGGAAAACCACCAAGGCACUAAGUCACUCAGAGACAAUUGAAAAUUAACAGGAUCUGUACAAACUGAACGUCAUAAAAAUUCCAAGUCCAGGCUCUGUCCUUCUGACGUAUUACACAAAGCAUGGGCACUGUCUGAGCAAACUCAGGGGAGACAGCUCAGCCAUAGCACUGGCCAGACAAACAGCAACAGAUGUUUGUUGAAUGAAUGGACACAUUAAUGAAUCCCAAUUGCCCUUCAAGUGCUCCAGAUACGGAGAAAGGAAACCGAUGGAUGACACAUCUAAUUUCAUCCCUACCAUCCACCCUGGACGGGGAAAUAGAUUCCCAUUUUACAGGUCAGAACUCUCAAGGUCAGGAUUGAGGAACCAGCUGAGCUGAUCUACCUGGCUGCCCCAGGGAGGUCAG
rnacentral:lncRNA from 1 species